UUAUAUAUUUCAAUUAUUGACAACAGCAACUUCAUAAACAGAAGGACGAUAUCGAUAAAUAAGUACCUCAAAUCCUUUAUUUGCCGAGAACAGUACCAAUGUUGGCUUGAUAAAAGCAUUAAUGCGUCAUUGUCAUUGAUCAGCAUCAUCGAAGAAACUGCUGAAGAUCAACAACGUCACCAAAGAGAAUAUGGUCAAAUGUUGAAUAAAUCAAGAGAUUAAUUGUUUGACCUAUUAUAAAGAAUAUCGAUUCCACAUAAAAAUUAUGAGCAAUAUGAGAGAGUCUGAUUUGUUCUAAACCAUUAAAAAAUCUCGAAGAAUGAAUUUAAUGAGUGAUGGUUUUUUUGAACAUAUUAAAUAAUAAUGAAUUAAUAGAUGUGCCUAGUAAACUGUCGAUUAGAGACUGGAAUAAGGAUCAAGAUUUGCAAUAUAUAAAUAAAGAGCGAAUUGUCAUCACAUAUUAUCUAGAAAAAGAAGAAAAAUAGCCUUUACUGCAGUUUUUCAAAAUUACUUUUUUACAUACUUCAAUUAUUGGCAACAGCAACUUCAUAAACAGAAGGACGAUAUCGAUAAAUAAGUACCUCAAAUCCUUUAUUUGCCGAGAACAGUACCAUUAUUGGCUUGAUAAAAGGUUAAAUUUUUUAA